rnacentral:rRNA from 1 species
CCUACGGGCGGCAGCAGUGAGGAAUAUUGGUCAAUGGACGAGAGUCUGAACCAGCCAAGUAGCGUGAAGGAUGACUGCCCUAUGGGUUGUAAACUUCUUUUAUAUGGGAGUAAAAUGUUCCACGUGUGGGAUUAUGUAUGUACCAUAUGAAUAAGGAACGGCUAACUCCGUGCCAGCAGCCGCGGUAAUACGGAGGAUCCGAGCGUUAUCCGGAUUUAUUGGGUUUAAAGGGAGCGUAGGUGGAUUGUUAAGUCAGUUGUGAAAGUUUGCGGCUCAACCGUAAAAUUGCAUUUGAAACUGGCAGUCUUGAGUACAGUAGAGGUGGGCGGAAUUCGUGGUGUAGCGGUGAAAUGCUUAGAUAUCACGAAGAACUCCGAUUGCGAAGGCAGCUCACUGGACUGUAACUGACGCUGAGGCUCGAAAGUGUGGGGAUCAAACAGGAUUAGAUACCCGUGUAGUC